rnacentral:rRNA from 1 species
UACGGAGGGCGCAAGCGUUGUUCGGAAUCACUGGGCGUAAAGCGCGUGUAGGCGGCUUUGCAAGUCGGAUGUGAAAUCCCGAGGCUCAACCUCGGAACCGCACUCGAUACUGCUUGGCUCGAGUCCCGGAGAGGGUGGCGGAAUUCCCGGUGUAGGGGUGAAAUCCGUAGAUAUCGGGAGGAACACCAGUGGCGAAGGCGGCCACCUGGACGGUGACUGACGCUGAGACGCGAAAGCGUCGGGAGCAAACAGG